rnacentral:lncRNA from 1 species
AUGUUGGCACUCGUUUUUCUGUUGGAUGUUAGUUUAUCAAUCUUUCCAUCUAAUCAAUCAUAAGUACAUAAUGUGUUAACCAUAAUUCAUUAAUCGAUACAAAUACGAAAUGCAAUAUGCUGAACAUUAUAAAUUUGCUAACAAAAUUACAACGAUAAACAUUAAUCGAUAAAAAAUAAAAUUUAUAAAUUUGCUAACAAUAAUUAUAACAUCAUCCUGUCCGGUUCUGCAUAGAAACGUAUAGUGUUUCACAUAGUGUUUUUCGGACGCACACACAAGCUUCACAUGGAUAAGAACUCAAAUCAGCAUGUAAAAUUUUGAGGAUGACAUUGACAUCUCAACAACAACUGCUAGUUAAAAUCAACAGAUAAGCAUUUCUCAUGCGUGUGAUUCACAUAGUGUUUUUCGGACGCACACACAAAAGCGCCCCCCAAGUUCAGUAUUUAAAAUGUAACUUGGUAUCGCUACACGGGCUUACACCGAUGCACAAGGUGCACUGUUAAAAAAAACCAUCACUACCGUCAUUUUGGAGUACAAAUCUACAAAUUCAAAGCUAAUUAUGACGCUUCUCCUGGGAUAUAACAACAAUGGCACCACUAUGGCCUUCACCGCCAGCUUCAAAAGCCUUAGAAUAACCUUUGUCCCGACUGAAAUUGCCCAUAAUCUGUUCACAUGUUGGUUUCUUUAAUUUUGUACCCUGCAUAUUCGUCUUCCUCAACAGCUCCAGCAGUUGAAUAGCUUCAGAAGAUCAUAUGCAUCCGCCAAGUCACUAAAUGCUGCACAUACCAUCAUUGACGUAACAUAUCAGCAGUUAUAAAACGAAAUUGGAAUGAUUUUGAUGGGUCGGAAGAAGUGCAUACCUACUAAUUUAUCAUCACUUCUGUAAACAUCUAACACAUGCAAGCCGGCUUCUUUUAAUUGUCUGAUAAUAACUACUGGAUUUUUCAAAGCCCAUGAAUCAGCCAACACCACAACUCCACCAGUUUCACAUAUUAACUGCACUGCUUCCUCUGGCAUCAGGUUCACUACCGCUACAUCAUAACUAAAUAAAACACAUUUACUAACCAGUGGGUCAGUUCAGGUAUAUUCAUUCUUUUAUAGAUCAAACGACUAAACAAAGAAUAACUAAAAGUGAAACGGAUCGAGUGUCACCAAGGUUUAAAAAAACGGAAAAGAGUUUUGAGGCGUUUUAACUGAGGCGUAAGCCCGAGGCAGAAUAAAAAAUAUAUAUAAAAAUUAGAGAGAGAGAGACCUUAAUCUUGAGAGAGAGAGAGAGCUCCAAAAUCUUAAUCUUGAGAGAGAGAGAGCUCCAAAAUCUUAAUCUUGAGAGAGAGAGAGAGAGAGAGAGAUCCACACCUUUGCAACAAGAUAUUCAAUAACAAAUCAAAUUCAGAUGAAAAUAAUCAAGAACAAAACAGUAACCAGAAUGUGUGGUUUAUUGGAAGAUAUUAGAGAACAAAACAUAUUCAGAUGACUUCUCGCACUGAUUUCUAGUAAUCUUUUGGGUUCACAAACUCUGUAACCCCAAAUUUCUUUGUUGUGGCGACAAAAAAAAAAAAACAACUAUAGCUGCACCUUUCGACCAAAUCCUUAAUCUCGUUUUCAGCCCUUGCUAUAGCUGCACCUUUGCCAAACACUAUCAAUGGCCUCUCCGCUUUUCUAAUCGCCAAUAUCGCCUUCGCUAUAUCAUCAUUCGAUACGCUCUUAAGCGGUUCUAUAUAUCUAUUAUUUUCAGCAUCAUCUAAUAACGUAUUAGCUUCUAGUUUCUUAAAGUUAAGGGAAUUAAGCAUGCAAAUAUAACAGGGACCUGCAUACAAAUUUAGCAAAAGUCCAAAUAAACAAAUGUUCAAGUAAUUGCUUCAAAAAACUUACCAAUAUUUGGGACCUGUGAUUCAUCAAGUGAUGAACUCAGGAGCGGUGACUCAUCCUCACGAGAAGGCAAUGGUUCAGCCAUGGUUACGGUCAGACCAGAGUCCACUAUGUCAUUAUGGGUAUCAACCUUUUUUUUUCUAAUCCACAUAUUAAUAAUUGAUAUGUUACUUGUGAAUCCAAUAACAAUAUUAAUACAACAAUAAUCUUUAAAUUUGAGAAGACAUGUGUCACAUAUUCAACAUGUUUCCUCUUUAAGCUAUUUUUAUUUGACCCGUUAAGAAAAAAACCCAACCCAAAUUGGCCGAUUUGUAAGUAAACGGGUCAAGCUUUCCACCUCUAGGAAUUAUGGAAACUAAAACGUAAUAAAAGAAACAGAUUCAGAUUC